UACGUAGGGGGCUAGCGUUGUCCGGAAUCAUUGGGCGUAAAGCGCGCGUAGGCGGCCCGGUAAGUCCGCUGUAAAAGUCAAAGGCUCAACCUUUGAAUGUCAGUGGAUACUGCCGGGCUAGAGUCCGGAAGAGGCGAGUGGAACUCCUGGUGUAGCGGUGGAAUGCGCAGAUAUCAGGAAGAACACCGACGGCGAAGGCAGCUCGCUGGGACGUUACUGACGCUGAGACGCGAAAGCGUGGGGAGCAAACAGG
rnacentral:rRNA from 1 species